rnacentral:rRNA from 1 species
UACGUAGGGGGCAAGCGUUGUCCGGAUUUAUUGGGCGUAAAGAGCGUGUAGGCGGCCAGACAGGUCCGUUGUGAAAACUCGAGGCUCAACCUCGAGACGCCGAUGGAAACCGUCUGGCUAGAGUCCGGAAGAGGAGAGUGGAAUUUCUGGUGUAGCGGUGAAAUGCGCAGAUAUCAGGAAGAACACCCGUGGCUAAGGCGGCUCUCUAGUACGGUACUGACGCUGAGACG